AGUCGAGGGGAAACGAUGGGAGGGCUCGCCCUCCCAGGCGUCGACCGGCGCACGGGUGAGUAACACGUAUCCAACCUGCCCUCUUCCGGGGAACAACCUUGCGAAAGUAAGACUAAUGCCCCAUGUGUCCUCAGACGGCAUCAGACGAGGACGAAAGAUUUAUCGGAAGUGGAUGGGGAUGCGCCUGAUUAGGCAGUUGGCGGGGCAACGGCCCACCAAGCCGACGAUCAGUAGGGGUUCUGAGAGGAAGGUCCCCCACAUUGGAACUGAGACACGGUCCAAACUCCUACGGGAGGCAGCAGUGAGGAAUAUUGGUCAAUGGGCGGGAGCCUGAACCAGCCAAGUAGCGUGCAGGAUGACGGCCCUAUGGGUUGUAAACUGCUUUUGCGCGGGGAUAAAGUGCGCCACGUGUGGCUCAUUGCAGGUACCGCGCGAAUAAGGACCGGCUAAUUCCGUGCCAGCAGCCGCGGUAAUACGGAAGGUCCGGGCGUUAUCCGGAUUCAUUGGGUUUAAAGGGAGCGCAGGCCGCCCCUUAAGCGUGUUGUGAA
rnacentral:rRNA from 1 species